AUAUAAAACUCUUCAGAACAGCACAGGGUGAUUUGGGUAUAGCUAUCUCCAGAUACCUUGGCCCUUGUUCUUGGAGUUUUAGGAAUUCAGAGAAAGGAAGAAAGGAUCUGAAGGACCUAGUGAAGACUCUCCUUGAGGCCACUCAUUUCAGGGAAGCGAAGGGAAGAGGGUGGGAGAAGUAGCUUUUGUUGUGUACCCAACAGACCAGAAAUCUAUAAUACAAUAUCUUUUUCAAGCCUCAUGAUUGGCUGAGUUUUACAAAUGAGGAAAUUAAGGACAGAGAAGUAAAGUAAGUCAUCCAAGGUCACACAGCAAGGAGGUGGCAGAGCCAAGAAUCGACCCAGGCGGGUCAGAUUCAAGCUUGCGUUCCUGUCACUAGGCAUAGGACAGGAAGUGGGGUGGUAAGAUGUCACCCCUAGGCCAAGGGGGCAGUGGUUUAAAUGGGGGCUCAGGUCAGAAAAGCAUCCUAUCUAUGGUAAUGCGGGAACCUGGCUUUGUUCUGAUACUGAACUCAGAUCUGAGACGCCACCCAGGUGUAUGUUAUAUGGGUUCUGAGAGGUCCAGCAGCAAGCAGGGCAGUUGGGCCCACCCCAGAGCAGCUGUACGCCCUUGGAGAUGGCCUGAAAUUGGCCAAGCUCUGGAAUGAGGGUCUGGGCAUUGCUCCCAGCAUCUGACCUUGGAAGGAAGCAGAAGCAGAGCUGUGGUUUUGAAGAUUUUCCUUCCCCAACGGAGACCCAUUGCAGCCUGUUAUGAAGGACCCAGCACAGGUAGAGAGAGCCAACAAGGUGGAAUGGGGGGCUCUGGCUUGGUGAGAUGGGGGAGGAGAAAGAGGGGUCACUCCUGCCAAGCUGACCUCAGCUGGGUAAUGUGAUCAGCCUGUCAUGGUUCUGAGCCCUGAUUUGGGAAGAACAAAGAGGCCAGGCCCCUCUGCCUCCUCUAGCCCAGGAAUGCAGCUGGGGGCCAGGCCGUGACCAAUGGGGAAUGCAGGUUGGGAGCGCAGCGAAUGCAGUUUGUAGAGCAAGGCUUUCAUGCACUGAUGGGAGCCCCACUCACAAAGCCAGGCUGACAUGCCCCCGCGCUUCCAACUUUGAUAUCCCAGCCCCGCCUUGGGGGAGCCGCACAUCCCCAAGCUGUCUGUGCCCAACUGCCCCGCUGUGGCCCUCGAGUGAUGAUGGGGUGAAGAGUGGAGAGCUCAGAUCCCAACUCCCCUCAACCCCACCAGGAUUCCUAGACACCAACAUCUCCUUGUCCGUCUCUCUCCACCUCGGGAUGUCUGAGGAAUGGACAGGGGGAAACAGCCUCCAGCUCCUGAGGGCUGAGAGAGAUGGAUGGAGAGACAGAAAGAUGGACCACGAGAGAGGCCGCGGGCCUCAGGCAGCCCCUGCUCUGAGCAGGUCACAGAAACUCCUUGAGGCCACCCACUCCAGGGAAAUGAAUAAUGUUAGAGGUGGGGGUUUCACUCCUGGCUUGGACAUCUGAAUACUUUCUGCAUUCCAAAGCUGCUAGCUCCCCUUCUCCAGCCCCAGUCUCUUUUCCCACUGGCCGAUUCACUCAGUGUGGGGUCCUUCAGGACUGCCCUUUUCUGCCUUCUCAAUUAUCCACUGCCCCCUCCCUCCUGGUGUCUCUGUGCUCCUGCGCUUCCUCUCCUCCUGGGUGUUAAUAAUGACAGUGCUUUACAGUUUACAAAGCACAAUCACCUGCAGUAACUCGUUUGAUUCUUAUAGGAGCCCUGUGCAGCAGGGACUCUGAUCCUCAUUGCAUGCAGGAAGAGAAGAAGGAAGAGGAGGUGGAGGCUUGAUGAGGAGGUGGUGGCCUGUGAUGGCAAGAGUGAGAUGGGGAGAAUGUCCAGCGGGAGAAGUAAGGGCCAGGAGCUUGAAGGAACUGUGAAAUAAAGAUAUUUCACCUUGAA
ensembl:lncRNA novel transcript